rnacentral:rRNA from 1 species
AUUGAACGCUGGCGGCAUGCCUUACACAUGCAAGUCGAACGGCAGCACGGGAGCAAUCCUGGUGGCGAGUGGCGAACGGGUGAGUAAAGUAUCGGAACGUGCCCAGUCGUGGGGGAUAACGUAGCAAAAGUUACGCUAAUACCGCAUACGAUCUAUGGAUGAAAGCGGGGGAUCGCAAGACCUCGCGCGAUUGGAGCGGCCGAUAUCAGAUUAGGUAGUUGGUGAGGUAAAGGCUCACCAAGCCGAAGAUCUGUAGCUGGUCUGAGAGGACGACCAGCCACACUGGGGAUGAGACACGGCCCAGACUCCUACGGGAGGCAGCAGUGGGGAAUUUUGGACAAUGGGCGAAAGCCUGAUCCAGCCAUGCCGCGUGCAGGAUGAAGGCCUUCGGGUUGUAAACUGCUUUUGUACGGAACGAAAAGGUUUGGCCUAAUAAGCUGAGCUCAUGACGGUACCGUAAGAAUAAGCACCGGCUAACUACGUGCCAGCAGCCGCCGUAA